CCAGGGUUGGGGAGAGAGAGAUUUGUGCAUUACUACAAACAUGUGGUGCAUUGCCUACCUCUUCACUUCUCCAUUUGAGCUUAUUCUUGCUGCUUUUGGAAGCUGAGACUGGAAUGACCCUUUGUGCAUCGUUUGUGAACUGGCAGUUUAAGUAAUUGGAUAAGUAGUGUACCUUCUACCUGCUGUUAUUGAACAAGAUUACCCUCCGUUAUUCCCUUCUGAACUCGGACUGAACUGUCACUUUGAGAUCUGUAUAGACAUGGCAGGCAGGAUGUGAAAUUCCUCUUUGUUAUUUAGACUCUACCUCAUGCAGAUUUAUUGUUUGCUAUGUGAAAUGUUUUAAAAGCAUUAUUUGGAUUAGCUGAGAAGAUCCAUUCAUCUACCUGGAAUCAUGGAUGUUUAUGAUUCUUUGCGUUUCUUUUCAACUUGGCUAGGAUCCUGAGAUUUCUGGAAUGAAAGAGAAGAAAAUGAUAUUUUAGAAUCUUAACCAGAUGAUUUGUGGUUUCUAACCCUGACCGUGCUGAAAAUCCACUUCCACUUCGCUCACACAGGCUGUAGUGCUGAGCUCCUGUAAUGAAAACCAAAGAAAUGCAGUGCCUGGAAGAAUGAGAGAUGGGGAAUGAAGUUGAUUUAAAAUAUCCUUUUCAAAUUAAGGACUCAUGUAGGAGACCAGUGACAUGCAACGUUGAAUUAUACCUAUUUUAGAAAAUUUCUGUUAGAAAGAAGGAGUUAGAUCAGGAGACAACAGUAGGCUCCAGGAAGAGGAACAGCAAGUAGAACUGUGUAUUUAGAAAGAACCAUAACAGGGCAAAUGUUCGCUUUUCCACCUGCUGUUGCGACCUCUUAGUAUGUGUGCCAAUUUAAACAGUUUUAUGGUGAUUGUGGAGAUUGCUAGGAGCUUAAACCCACUUUGUUCUAGGGAGACAGCCCACUUUAAAUUUGUAAAGCAUGGCCGCAAAUGGUGGAAAGAGGAGUCUUAAAUUCCAUAAGUAUUGACUAAAUUUAAACCCAGAGAGCUGGUUCUCUUUCUGCACUCCCAGCAACACUCCUUCUCUCUCUCCACCAGCACCC